AUGGAUGAACUUAUGAAGAUGUUUGCUACUAAAAAUACUCCUCUUGAUCCCAAUGAUAUGCCCUUGUCUACUUUGAUUGAGAAUAAUAAUGAAUCUAUGGAUGUGAAUUUUGUUGGUAGGAAUAGUUUUGGAAACAACGCGUAUAGAGGGAAUUUUAAUCCUAGGCCUUAUCCUAGUAAUCCUUCUAAUAAUUAUGGAAAUUCCUACAACAACUCUUAUGGAAAUUUUAAUAAGAUGCCCUCUGAAUUUAAGAGUAGUGUUAAAGAGUUUAUGAAUUCACAAAAGAAUUUUAAUGCUUUGCUUGAAGAGAAAUUGCUUAAAGUUGAUGAUUUGGCUAGGAACGUUGAUAGAAUUUCUCUUGAAAUUGAUUCUUUAAAGCUUAGAUUUAUUCCUCCUAAGUAUGAUAUCAAUGAUUCUCUCAAAGCCAUGAGAAUUUCCAUUGAUGAGUGCAAAGAAAGAACUGCUAGGAUGCGUGCUUCCAAAGAUGCCUUUAUUAAAGCGUGUUCUUCCAAUUCCUAUGAAAAUCAAGAUGAAGAUCUAAAAGUUAUUGAUGUGUCCCCCAUUAAAUCUUUGUUUUGCAAUAUGAAUCUUGAUGAAACUGAAUAUGAUCUUCCUUUACCUAGAAGGCGUUCUAAGAAUUCGGAGUUUCUAGAUCUUGAUGAUGAAAUUGAUAAAUAUGGGAUUGAAAGAAAUAAAAACCUAGAUGUUGCUAAACCCACUAUUUUGGAUCUCAAGGAAUUUAAUUAUGAAAAUUGCUCUUUAAUUGAUUGUAUUUCUUUGUUGCAAUCCGUGCUAGAUUCUCUUCAUGCUUAU
rnacentral:rRNA from 1 species